GAUGAACGCUGGCGGCGUGCCUAAUACAUGCAAGUCGAGCGAACAGACGAGGAGCUUGCUCCUCUGACGUUAGCGGCGGACGGGUGAGUAACACGUGGAUAACCUACCUAUAAGACUGGGAUAACUUCGGGAAACCGGAGCUAAUACCGGAUAAUAUAUUGAACCGCAUGGUUCAAUAGUGAAAGACGGUUUUGCUGUCACUUAUAGAUGGAUCCGCGCCGCAUUAGCUAGUUGGUAAGGUAACGGCUUACCAAGGCAACGAUGCGUAGCCGACCUGAGAGGGUGAUCAGCCACACUGGGACUGAGACAGGGUCCAGACUCCUACGAGAGGCAGCAGUAGGGAAUCUUCCGGAAUGGGCGAAAGACUGACGGAACAACGACGCGUGAGUGAUGAAGGUCUUCGGAUCGUAAACCUCUGUUAUUAGGGAAGAACAAAUGUGUAAGUAACUAUGCACGUCUUGACGGUACCUAAUCAGAAAGCCACGGCUAACUACGUG
rnacentral:rRNA from 1 species